rfam:Ictidomys tridecemlineatus contig006928, whole genome shotgun sequence.
UGGGCUGGGGCUCAGUGGCAGAGCAUUUGCCUGGCAUGUGGGAGGCACUGGGUUCAAUCCUCAGCACCUUAA